AACUUUUCACACAGGCAAUAUCGUAACCAAUGAGGUUAAUCCCAGGUGCGAUUAUUGCCAGUUGAAAAUUUAACCAAUACUUGCAUGUCUUUAUUACCAUCAAUACAGAGAAAAAACAUAUACAACACUAAACUAAAUAUG